rnacentral:rRNA from 1 species
GACGAACGCUGGCGGCGCGCUUAACACAUGCAAGUCGAGCGAUGAAAUUUCGACAGAUCCCUUCGGGGUGAAGAUGAAAUGGAUUAGCGGCGGACGGGUGAGUAACACGUGAGUAACCUGCCUUUGACAUUGGGAUAGCCUCGGGAAACUGGGAUUAAUACCAAAUGACACUAACUGAUCACAUGAUCAAUUAGUCAAAGAAAUUCGGUCAAAGAUGGACUCGCGGCUGAUUAGCUAGUUGGUGAGGUAACGGCCCACCAAGGCGACGAUCAGUAGCCGGCCUGAGAGGGUGAUCGGCCACAUUGGAACUGAGACACGGUCCAAACUCCUACAGGAGGCAGCAGUGGGGAAUAUUGCACAAUGGGGGAAACCCUGAUGCAGCGACGCCGCGUGAGCGAAGAAGGCCUUCGGGUCGUAAAGCUCUUUUAUGAGGGAAGAUAAUGACGGUACCUCAAGAAAAAGCCCCGGCUAACUACGUG